CGGGAGCUUGCACAGGUGCUGCAUGGCUGUCGUCAGCUCGUGUCGUGAGAUGUUCGGUUAAGUCCGCUAACGAGCGCAACCCUCGCUGUGUGUUAUAUGUGUCACACGGGACUGCCGGUCUUAAGCCGGAGGAAGGUGGGGAUGAUGUCAAGUCAGGCAUGGCCUUUAUAUCCUGGGCUACACACACGCUACAAUGGCCAACACAAUAGGUUGCUAAGCCGCGAGGUGGCGCCAAUCCAUAAAGUUGGUCUCAGUUCAGAUUGUAGGCUGCAACCCGCCUGCAUGAAGAUGGAGUUGCUAGUAACCGCAGGUCAGCUAUACUGCGGUGAAUACGUUCCCGGGGCUU
rnacentral:rRNA from 1 species